UUUUAAUGGCUAAUUUCCAUUGUAUGUAUGUCUGACAUCUUCUUUAUCCACUCCUCUGUUGAAAAUUUAGGUUAAUUCCAUGUCUUGGAUAUUGUAAAUAGGGCUACAAUGAACUUUAGGUUGCAUGUAUCUUUUCAGCAUCACUUCUUUAUCCUGCUCCUGCUCCUGGUGUGCCAUUCUGAGGCUGCCUCAUGCUUUAGGACUUUAGUUGGUUUGGCUUUAUUUUCUGUGACACCAUUCCCCCUGUCUUUAUACUCAUGAUUGGCCCUAAGAUGGUGCAGUUUCCCCAGCUCUAAUUUUACUUGCUUUUCCUGGGAAAAAAUAUUGGCUGCUCCAUGUGCCAUACUCAUUGGCCUGAGUACCUUGGGCUCCUGCUGUGCAGGCUACUCCAGCUUUUCCAUGUACCGGUUUUCCAGGAUGAGUAGAGGCUGUUCAAACAGAUGCUCUUCCUGCAGAAGAGAACUCCCUUGGUUUCAUGCCCACAGCCUCAUUGAGCCAUGAGUGCCAGGCAAGUAUAACAGUGCUUUCCCUGUGGGUGGGGCUGCCCUAACCCCUGCUGGGUUGCCCCCAAGAUCUGGGGGGUCAACAUUUUGAUGCUUAUCUGCUAAGACUCACCAGACAUGGAAAGCUCUCCUUUUCUCAUAUCUGCUUUUUCACUGAUAUAUGGUUCCUUUUCCCUGAAGUGCCUUAUUCCCACUCCUGUUUUCAAAAUCCAGCUCUUUCCCCAGUACUGGGAUGAAUAUCAGCCUUAAGAAGCUUCUCCUGAUUUUCCUCUACUGCACUGAGUUCCUCGAAUUGCCAUUGCAUUUUAGUGGCCAUGUCUGAUCAUAUCUUAAAUAUGUUGCUUUAUAUGUGUUUGUGUGUAUGUUCUUUCCCUCCUACCUGAAAGUGAGCUCCAUCAGCGUGGUUUGAACUAUAAGCAUCCCUUAGCUCUCCAAAGCCUGAGAAUCCCUAGGGCAGCUAAGAAAUUUAAUGAGGACCAUAGGCCAGGAGCCUGGGAUGUAUUAGGAAAGGCUUAAGAAAAAUCUUCCUGUGGACAACUAGCUUUAAUUAUGAUUGAGAUUUAAAUCCAUUUGGGUAGCAUAUAUUUACUUAAGGCACUAAAGCUCAAGGUUGUGAAUUUUGUUAUGGAUCACCAGGGUGAAACCAGCAAGACGAGAAAAAAGGGAUCAAUAUUAGUAGGCUGUUAAAGUUUUCCAUUUGACUUAUUUUGGGAUUGUGUUAUUUGUAGGGGUAGAGGGUGGCAACUAUCUUUAUCAGACUGACUUAGGCUUUGAGGAAAAGUCUGUGGCCAAAGACAAAAGCUUUUCAAUUUGUAGCAGUUGGAUAACAUCUUAUAAUCAGCCAUAAACACUCUCCCCCUUUUUACUUUAACUUGCUUAGACUGACAGCAGAAAAAUCUAAAGAAAUAGAAUCCAGAUUUUCUUGCGAGCCACAACCGUAAAGCGAUUAAUUUUAAAACAAACCAUGUUUAAAUACUGGCAAAAACAUCAUAAUUUUCAGACUUUGAGGAAAGUUAGAUUUUAUUCCAUGUAUAUAAUACAAACAAACAAAUAUUUGACUGGGAUGAUUUUCCAUAGAUCAUCUGAGAAAACAACAUGCUUAUUGAUUAUAAUUUAUAAACCCUGAAAAAUAAUUUCCUCUCAUCUGUAAUAAAGACUCUUUGAUAUAUAUAUGAACUUGUAAUAUCCUCAAUGGUGAGCAAUUAAGCUCCUUUCAGCAUAAGAUAUAAACGCAAGUUCUGUGACCUUUAGGUUUGAACUACUAGGAAUUAGAAAUUAUGAAUAUAACACUCAGUUUAUACUUCUUUCUUACAACUCUCCAACCUUUAUUAGUCAGGUAUUCAUUCCGAAACCUUUCACCUCAUACAAAUGUUAUCAUCUGCCCUAAAAUCCAGACGCGAUCAAACAAGCAAAAGCACCACACCUGGCAAUUAAAUUGUGAGAAAUUAAAGCUCUUCAAAAUGUGACUGUGACCUGGCACAAUGCUCCACUCACAAUCACGUACAGGAGGGAAGUGGGAAAGUCACAUUGACAAGUGCCAUUAUUUACCCAGAUUGCUCCCAACUUCAUUUCAUCCGCAAAAGGGGUUUUUAAUUAUAAAUACUUUCUUUCAUUCUCCUUCUUCCUUCCUUCCCUCCCUCCCUCCCUCUUUCUUUUCUUUUCUUUCCUUUCCUUUCCCUUUUUUUCUUUCUUUCUGUCUGUCUUUCUUUCUUUCUUUCUUUCACCACAGUCCCUUUGAUUUUCUCCUGUAAAAUGCUCAAAUGAAAUAAAAAUCAAAUAUUAUUAACAUACAAAUAUUUGAAAAGUCAAAUAGCUCCAUAAUAAUGUAUACUAUUUGUCUAUUUCUGCUAUAUAUUCUCUCUUUUUUUUUUUUUUUGUCUUUUUAGAGCUGCACCUGUGGCACAUGGAGAUUGCAGGCUAGGGGUCAAAUCAGAGCUGUAGCCUCUGGCCUACACCACAGCCACAACAGUGCCAGAUCCAGGCCAUAUCUGCGACCUACACCACAGCUCACAGCAAUGUUGGAUCCUUAACCCACUGAGUGAGGUCAGGGAUCGAACCUGUGUCCUCAUGGAUGCUAGUCAGGUUCGUUUCUGCUGAGCCACGAUGGGAACUCCACUGCUAUGUAUUCUUAUCUCCAUUUUGUAGAAGAGGAAACUGGAACUCAGAAGUUUAACUUGGCCAAGUCAUGAUUUAAAUCAAGGCUUCUUAUUGCAAAAUACAAGGCCGGUGUGUGUGUGUAUUUCCAUUUUUUUCACAUUCUAUAGACAAGGAUGAAUUCCCUUUUCCUGCUUGAUAAUGUUUCUUUCUUUCUUUUUUUUUUUUUUUUUUUAAGGGCCACACCCAUGGCCUAUGGAAGUUCCCAGGCUGGGGGUAGAAUUGGAGCUACACUUGCCAGCCUACACCACAGCCUCAGCAAUGCAGGAUCUGAGUUAUGUCUGCAACCUACAUCACACAGCUCAUGGCAAAGCUGGAUCCUUAACCCACUGAGUGAGGCGAGGAAUUGAACCCACAUCCUUAUGGAUCCCAGUCGGGUUUGUUAACCACUGAGCCAUGAAGGGAACUCUGGAUAGCAUUCUAUAAACCCUACCUGAUCAUUCAUUUGUUCCUUCAUCCAUGCAUUCAUUCACCACUUAGUGGAUACUAAAUCUGAUUAAGAAUUAGAAAAUUAAAGGACUUAAGAAGAGGAAAAAAGAGAUAAAGUCAUUGAGAAAAUGGAGUAAAAUAAACUUGGCAAAGGUAAAGGGACUAAAUUUUAAUUAGGGAAGAAGAAGCUGAGUCUGGAUGAAAACAAACUCCCAUUCUAAACUCUGUCCUCUUAAGCACUGUGCAGCACUUCUUACCUUUGAUGUGCUGUUUAAUUGACAUGUUCCCCUAAAAGUAUCUUUAUUGCUCAGACCCUCUAGAGUCACAGCCCACUGGAGGGGAAAAACAAUACGUACUAGGUACCACACACUAUGCUGGGCACUGAAAUCAGAGAUAAAGCAGAUCAAAUCCCUGACUUUGUGAUGUCCAAGUUCAGUAAUAGGAAGCCCCCCAGCGUACUUGUCUGUGAGGUUUGACAACAAUUUCUUCAGAUUAUGUAAGAGUCCCAGUUGCUCGAAACAGUAUUUAAGGCUACAUCAAAAAAUGUAGCCUGUCUUCCUGUCUAUGUCUCUACUUCCUUAUUCCUCUCCUGCGUCUUUUCAUCUUCAUUUUACAUACUUGAACUGUUUCUGGUGCCUUCAAAAUAUUGAGAUGAGAGGGCCCGAUAAGAAGAGAAGGAUGUCUGCAUGGAAAAGAGCAGGGAACAGUCCCAUCAAUCUUCCUUAUUGACCCCAGCAACUCUUCAGAAGUUUGAGUGAGUUCCUCUGGUCACACGUGGUUCUCUUGAGUCAAUGUGCGUGGGUACCCUUUGUGAUAUUCUCUUAACCAGUUCAAGAAUAAGUCUCUAGCUAAGAGAGUCACACCAAAUAUUUCACUUUUGACUCUGGGCCAGCCUUUUCAAAAACAAAUAUUGAAUUUUGAAUUCAUUCUCCAAUACACAACUACAUCUCCCUUGAAUACAAAUUCAUUUAACGAACAUUUUCCUGGAUGCAUUAAGUGGUAAAGACAGCCGAGUCAUUAAAAUCAGUAGUUCUAGGGUACAGAUAUAGGUCUGCCACUUACUAUAUAACCUUGACCAAGUCCCUUAACUUCUCUGAACCUCAGUGUUCUCUUUAUUGCAAUGGUGCUAAUUUCAAGGGGUUGUUAUGAACAUUAUAUAAAACGGUAUUUGAUAAGAGGCUUCAUCGAUGGUUUUGUGUUAAGUACUAGUUGUGAGUUAUAAGAAUAUAUCACAUACUCUAUAUCUGCCAAUAAAAACAUUAGAGAAAUUGAGAGAAAUCACUUUGGGUGGCAAAUAUGCUUUAUGUGCAUGACAUAACUGCAAACAAUAGAAAACUAAUGUGGCCAAGUGAUUCCAAGCUAAUUAAAUUACUUCAGACCCCAGACAAUACUUCCAGAAUGCAAUUCCAAGUAGACAUCUAACUCUACUUCAUCAAUGCUUCUUUGCUACAGUCUUAACAUAAUACGCAUGCAUCCCAUUACCUGUUAGGAAAAAGUCAAGUUAGAGUGAAGGGAGGAGAGAAGCAAUGAAAGAGAGCCUAAAAGCUUUUUGAAGUCUCCCAUAUGCAAAUGCCUCAAUGUUGUGUUGAGAGAAAUAGCAAUAGAAUAAGAGUUCCCAGGGCAAGGCUGUCAUUGCCUUUCCCACUUUGCAGCCAUAUGUCUGUCACAAUAUUGAGCUGUCACGCACUGAGAUUGCUAGUGUGACAUCUUCAUCGGUUGCAAACUGACUCUAGCCCCAGACAGCUCCAGCAAUUACUGGGGCACCACACUCACUCCAUCCUGACUCUCCCCAGUAGCUUCAGAGAAUCCAUACUGUCCACGCUGGACCCGAAUCCAGGGUGAUUUGACUUUAGUGGGCAUCAGCCAACACUUGGCACACAUAAAAAACUCCAAUCAGCAUCAUCUCCAUUUUGAACUGUGAUAAGAGCCCAGAAAAGAGCAUCAGAUAGGCAGAAAAGAGUCCGGCUCAGUUCAGAGUAAAAGCCAAAGCUGCUUUCUCCUCACAGUGGAAGGACACAUCAAAUGUUCAAGAGAUGAUGGAUUAAGAAAGCAGAAGACUCUGAAUAUUCUCAAGAGGAGGCACAAUAGAUUCUUUUCUCCCUCUUGAAAAGGCUUAGAUUUAAUUUUUAAAAUAUCAUUAUAAUUUCCCAUUGAGAAAUUACUCAUAGAAACGGCAUUUAUUUUAAAUUUCUCUGUUUCAGAAACUGUGCCACCAGGGAAAAAUGAGUAUGUUCAUGAGUGGGCUGUGAAGGUAGAAAGCACAUUUCAUUUCAUAAAUGUCUCUGCUAUAUUGUGAAACCAUUUAAAAUUGUGGGACGCUUUGGGAACCUUAAGGUCACUGAUGCUUUGGUCCUUGUAGCCAACAUCCACCUUAGAUUCUGAAAGGUAAACUGCCAAAGUACUGAAUUUGGUUGUGUUUUGGUGAGAGUAAUAAUUAGAUGAUUUACUGGCAACUGAAUCACAUUGAGAUGUUAUUGUGUAGCAGCUCUGAAGUCAGAAUCCCAGAUUGACCCCUUUUAUGUUGGGUGACUUCAAACUUUAUUUUUUUGGUUUAGUUCAGUGAAAUUUAUUGUAGGUUGAAAAAAAAAUCAGCAUUCAUCUAUUUAGUGUACAAAAAGGACACUAGAUCUUUUAAGAAAAUAUUAGCAAACUGAAGAUGCAGAUGCCUUUCAAUUGUAACAUGAUAGUAAAAGUGAAAAGUUCUUGUAAACAGAAAUUCCAUAGUUCAAAAUCAUUUUUCUCCACAGUAU
rnacentral:lncRNA from 1 species